CCUACGGGAGGCAGCAGUGGGGAAUUUUGGGCAAUGGGCGCAAGCCUGACCCAGCAACGCCGCGUGAAGGAAGAAGGCUUUCGGGUUGUAAACUUCUUUUGGCAGGGAAGAGUAGAAGACGGUACCUGUCGAAUAAGCCACGGCUAACUACGUGCCAGCAGCCGCGGUAAUACGUAGGGGGCAAGCGUUAUCCGGAUUUACUGGGUGUAAAGGGCGGGUAGACGGGUUGACAAGUCAGAUGUGAAAUCCUGGGGCUUAACCGCAGAACUGCAUUUGGAACUGUUGAUCUGGAGUACUGGAGAGGAAGACGGAAUGCCUGGUGUAGCGGUGAAAUGCGUAGAUAUUAGGAGGAACACCAGUGGCGAAGGCGGUCUUCUGGACAGCAACUGACGGUGAGGCGCGAAAGCGUGGGGAGCAAACAGGAUUAGAUACCCUAGUAGUC
rnacentral:rRNA from 1 species